GUAUUUUAACUUCUAUUCCAAACCAAAACCCUAACCCUAACCGACACCCCCUCACUAGAGAAUAAGAAGAAGGGCGGCCAGAGGAGAAGCCAGCCACCGGCGCUGCCACACCGAAGACCUAAAACACACCGGUGAGUGUGGUUUUUUUUUUCCCGUUUUUCCCCGUUCCUUUGCCCUUAGCCAUAUAACUUGUUUUCGUUAUAGAAGAACUGAGAAUGAUCGCGAACUGCGAGGAAGGAGAUGACGGAGCCUAGCUGAGCCACCACACCAUAAAUCAAAAAACGCUUUGGUAAGCUGUAC
rnacentral:lncRNA from 1 species